rnacentral:rRNA from 1 species
AACGCUGGCGGCGUGCCUAAUACAUGCCUGUCGAGCGCGGGAAGCGGACAAAACUCUUCGGAGGGACGUUCGUGGAACGAGCGGCGGACGGGUGAGUAACACGUAGGCAACCUGCCUGUCAGACUGGGAUAACUCUCGGAAACGCUAGCUAAUACCGGAUAAUAAUUAUCAUCUCCUGAUGGUAAUUUGAAAGGCGGUUUUUGCUGUCACUUACAGAUGGGCCUGCGGCGCUUUAUCUAGUUGGUGGGGUAACGGCUCACCAAGGCGACUAUGCGUAGCCGACCUGAUAGGGUGAUCGGCCUCUCUGGGACUGAGACACGGCCCAGACUCCUACUGGAGGCAGCAGUAGGGAAUCUUCCGCAAUGGACGAAAGACUGACGGAGCAUCGCCCCGUGAGUGAUGAAAGUUUUCGGAUCGUAAAACUCUGUUGUCGGGGAAGAACAACUAUGAUAGUAACUGAUCGUACCUUGACGGUACCCGACCAGAAAGCCACGGCUAACUACGUGCCACCACCCGCGGUACUACGUAUGUGGCAAGCGUUGUCCGGAAUUAUUGGGCGUAAAGCGCUCGCUUGCGGUUCUUUCAGUCUGAUGUGAAAUCUUGCGGCUCAACCGUAAACGUGCAUUGGAAACUGGAGGACUUGAGUGCAGAAGAGGAGAGUGGAAUUCCACGUGUAGCGGUGAAAUGCGUAGAGAUGUGGAGGAACACCAGUGGCGAAGGCGACUCUCUGGUCUGUAACUGACGCUGAGGAGCGAAAGCGUGGGGAGCGAACAGGAUUAGAUACCCUGGUAGUCCACGCCGUAAACGAUGAGUGCUAGGUGUUAGGGGGUUUCCGCCCCUUAGUGCUGAAGUUAACGCAUUAAGCACUCCGCCUGGGGAGUACGGCCGCAAGGCUGAAACUCAAAAGAAUUGACGGGACCCGCACAAGCGGUGGAGCAUGUGGUUUAAUUCGAAGCAACGCGAAGAACCUUACCAGGUCUUGACAUCCUUUGACCGCUCUGGAGACAGAGUUUUCCCUUCGGGGACAAAGUGACAGGUGGUGCAUGGUUGUCGUCAGCUCGUGUCGUGAGAUGUUGGGUUAAGUCCCGCAACGAGCGCAACCCUUGAUCUUAGUUGCCAGCAUUUAGUUGGGCACUCUAAGGUGACUGCCGGUGACAAACCGGAGGAAGGUGGGGAUGACGUCAAAUCAUCAUGCCCCUUAUGACCUGGGCUACACACGUGCUACAAUGGACGGAACAAAGGGAAGCAAGCCCGCGAGGUCAAGCAAAUCCCAUAAAACCGUUCUCAGUUCGGAUUGUAGGCUGCAACUCGCCUACAUGAAGCCGGAAUCGCUAGUAAUCGCGGAUCAGCAUGCCGCGGUGAAUACGUUCCCGGGUCUUGUACACACCGCCCGUCACACCACGAGAGUUCGUAACACCCGAAGUCGGUGAGGUAACCUUUUUGGAGCCAGCCGCCGAAGGUGGGACGAAUGAUUGGGGUG